UACGGAGGGUGCAAGCGUUAUCCGGAUUCACUGGGUUUAAAGGGUGCGUAGGUGGGCAGGUAAGUCAGUGGUGAAAUCCCCGGGCUUAACCCGGAAACUGCCGUUGAUACUAUUUGUCUUGAAUAUUGUGGAGGUAAGCGGAAUAUGUCAUGUAGCGGUGAAAUGCUUAGAUAUGACAUAGAACACCAAUUGCGAAGGCAGCUUACUACACAACGAUUGACGCUGAGGCACGAAAGCGUGGGGAUCAAACAGG
rnacentral:rRNA from 1 species